UACGUAGGGGGCGAGCGUUGUCCGGAUUUACUGGGCGUAAAGCGCGUGUAGGCGGUUGAUCAAGUCGGGUGUGAAAUGCUGCAGCUUAACUGCGGCACUGCGCUCGAAACUGGUUGACUGGAGUUUGGCAGGGGUAACCGGAAUUCCUGGUGUAACGGUGAAAUGUGUAGAUAUCAGGAGGAACAUCUGUGGCGAAGGCGGGUUGCUGGGCCAAAACUGACGCUGAGACGCGAAAGCGUGGGGAGCAAACAGG
rnacentral:rRNA from 1 species